UCUUGAUGUGAUUCUUGAUUUCCCUAUAACUCACAAGACCAUCUUCACUCAAAGCUGGUCCCGUUGCUGCUGCACCAAUACCAUUGUCCUCAGGUUUCACAAGCGUCCAUGCAUAGCCAUAGAAAGGCAAACAUAAAACCAAUUUAUCAGCCGAUAACCCUUCGUCAAUCCAUUCCGUGAUUCCGUAUUCAGUAUUAGAGACACUAUUUGGAUCAUACAGAGCCGCAUGAGCACCAGUAAAAUUUGUCCACGUAGGGACUGAGUAAUCAGUAGUGAAAACAUGGACCCAAUUCAAGUAUUGUCUUAUCGAGUCGACUGGAUAAGCUGCUGCUGGUGAGUAUGGUGAAUAUGCAACCGUUGCCGUCAAAAUCAACUGUGAUUGGCUCGAGUUAUUUCUUGCUUCUAAAGCUACGGCAGCUCGCCAUUCUUUAAAGAGAAUGCCAAUAUUGUACUUAUCCCAGCUUGUGUUUGCAAAAUACCAAGACAGAUCUAAGCCUUGAAAGCCAUAGAGCCUUGCUAUUUUUAUUGAGGAGUCAAUAAAGGAUUUCCUGGAAGAAGGAUUGCCCGCCAUGGAAGAAUAAGUUGAAUAGUUUGGAUAAUUUCCUGCUCCGAUGGAAAGAAGUGUAGUGAUUGAUGGGUUCUUUAUUUUGACUGUGUCUGUGAAGUUGGAGAAUUGUUUUUCAUCCGAAGGUAAUAAAGAAAGCUCAUAGGAAGUUGAGUUGACACCAGCAAAACCACACAUCAGGUGAGUGAAGAGAGCAGAAUUUACAUCUGAAACUGGGAACCCAUCGCGUGAAUCCCAGUAACCAGCUCUGAUUAAAGUUUGUGCUCUUGCAGGAAGCGAUUCUGAAAAUAUAAAAAUGUGGAGGACAAGAAUGAUAAUUUUGGAUGCCAUUGUGGGAACCUGGCUGCUUGAGGCAUACCUAGUAUGUGAUUAUAUAUUUGUACACACACACACAAAAUGUAAUGGAGAAAUUAUCCUAUACCGAUUGAGAUUAGUUAUUGCACUAAUAAUGCAAACUUGAGUCAACUUUCAACUUAUGAGCUUAGUCCAUAAGUUUUUAUACGAUAUCAAAUUCAAGUUAUGAAUGAGGGACCCUAUAAUACCUUCCAACCUAACUUAAUAAUUAAUCUUAGCCAAUGUGACAUACUUGUUCUAUCACUUUAUCACGUCCAAGUCGAUCUUUUAGCUUUGUCUCUUUUUCAUGAUAAUAAGUGAUAAGAUUGAAGUUCUUAAAUUAAGCUAUGACUUUUUACCUCCGCUUAGCUUGACUUCUGAAGUUGGAGACUCGUUCUUUUGUAUUGUCUUUGUUGGUAUUUAAAUGAACUCGGAGUCCUCGACGAGUUUCUGAAGCGAAGUCAUUAUUCCUCUAUGACUCCAUCCAUGCAAUUGGAAGGCAAAAUCUUGUGAAAAUAUUUUCUAAGUUGAUUCAGUCCAUGAUCAACGUGCACAAAACGCAAAAUCUUGCGAAAAUCAAACCCGUCCUCACUCAUGACCUCACUUUAUUAAAUUACAGCUUGUCAUUGAAUUGAGUGUUGCCUUAAUUAAGCCAUCAAAUUAAUAAAGUGAUGGUCAUUAAGAAAUACACUUAGUUACUUCCUGAUGGUAAGAUUCAAUAAUAUUCUAAUUUAAAAAAAAAAAAAAAGAUCCAUAUACCUUUUUCUUGUGUAAUUUAAUUUUCAGUCCAGUCCACCCUCCCAUUUUAUCAUAAAAGUGUAUACAAACAUACGUUUUACUCAAUGUUUACUUAGAAACAAAUGGCGCGCGUACGAUUGCCGAUCUAGUACCACUCUCGUAUGCUUGGUGGGAUUCGGCUUCACCAAAUUUGUAGCAUAUAUUUUACUUUAAUGAGAAAAUCAAAUAAUUAUUGAACAAAUAAUUUUUUUUUCAAUAUACUUUCUUAAAAUGUAUGGAGUUGGUAAAGUGCAAAUUCAUUUUUUAGCCCUUUGACUCCUCCAAAAUCAAAACUAAAAUUAAUGGUCAGUUAAAUAAUGUUACUUGAAAAUCAUUUCCUAGCUAGAAUUUGUUUAAUUCUAUUAAUUUACAAUCGUUUUUCAUUUUACUUAAUUAAUUAAAGUGAAUUUAUUAUGUAUACAUUCUACAUACAUAAAGUUUUAAUAUUCAGUGUUGAAUUGAAUUGUACUAAAUUUUUUAUAAUUUUUUGUCAGACCUGCGUUUUUAACAGUUUAAUAGUAAUAUUGAUAGCACAUAAUAUACAGGAUUAAGAGAGAUCGAUUUCGACUGCUACAAGAUUUUUAGGAUUGCAUGCACAAGGGUUUAAAAACAAAGUGUACACUUAAUUACACCAAACGAGGGUGCAUUUUUAUGAUGAAAUAAAAACUACGUGCAGGGUUGUAAAAGUGGCUCCAUAAUUAGCGUACAUUAACAUUCAUCUAGCUACCACUUCCGAAAAUGAUACAUCAUAAGCCGAACAUUUUUCCAAUUUUGUUGUAGAUAAUAGUUCAAUCCCAAUUUCAUCAACUUGUUUUGAGAAAGCAGGCUUCUUGGGAGUAUUUGUAUUUGUGGUUUCAUUCUUGAGCAUUGAGGAAACUUCCAGCAUUGAAGGUCUAUCGUUUGGAUUCUCCUGGACACACAACAAAGCUAUUUCCACACAUCUCAUUAAUUUACAAGGGGAAUUUCUAUCAUCUAGGAAUGAAUCCACAAACUCCACGCCUUUGCCAACUUUCCACAACUCAUAUGCCUGAAAUUAUCAAGUACCAUCUUGUUACAUAAUUUAUACUUCUUAAUUAAGUGCGCAUAUGUGUACUCAGGGUUACUAUAGCCGAAGAAACUUACGUGCUCUAGAAUGCUUAAAUUUUCAUUGAUGCCACAUAACACUGAAAGCCUCUUUCCACUUAUGAUUUGUAGAAGUAAAACUCCGAAACUAAAAACGUCUGAUUUGGUAGAGUAUACACCUUGUCUGGCGUACUCAGGAGGAAUACAGCCUCUGCGUUCAAAAUAACCAAGUAUAUAUGAGUAAGGGAUUUUGCAAUUUAAUAAAUUUGUAAAACCCAUUUUAAAUUGUGGUAAAAGUCCAUUCUGCAUUUUAUUAAAGUGCUGAAUUCCUUAUUCGAAACCCAAUAUAUGUAUAACAAACAGAAGCUUGAGUAAAGGAUAUCAUUUAGAUGUAAUAUACUUACAUUGUUCCCACAACUUGUUCUGUAUUCGCUUCGAGACUCUCUUUUGCAAAAAUCCUAGCCAAACCAAAAUCUGAAAUUUUAGGUUUCAUACCUUCACCUAACAAAAUAUUACUGGCUUUCAAGUCUCGAUGAAUAAUAGUCAGUCUUGAAUAUUCCUGGAGGUAUAAAAGCCCUUGAGUUAUCCCUUCAAUGAUAUGAACACGUUUUUUCCAAUCCAAAAUAAGUCUUCUGAUGGGAUCUACAACAAAUAUAUAGUUUUGGACAAUAAGUGAUAUGCAAAUGAAUUUUAUACACAAUUAAUAUUAACUUGAUUUCAGAACAAACCAAAAAGGUAGCAAUCCAAGCUUUUGUAUGGCAUGUAUUCGUAGACCAGCAUCUGUUCCUCACUGUCAAUGCAAAAACCUAAAACUCUAAUAAGAUUUACAUGUUGGAGUUUUGCAGUAAGCAUAACCUCAUUCUUAAACUCCUCAAAUCCCUGUGCGGAUGAUUUCGAAAGUUUCUUCACUGCUAUCACCCCUCCACAGGGUAAUACACCCUGCAACCCAAAAAAAAAAACCACGUUCAUAUAAAGCUUUCACUAAUUAGAGAAGCUGAGAAAUGUUAGCCAAACAAUAUGCUACCCCCCAAAGUUGAGGGCACCAUUUUAAGUCCUUUAAGUCCCCAUGGACGCAAAAUGUAAAUCUCCUCUCACAGAAUAUGGAUAUGGGUAGAGGUAUCUUCCUAAAAUAUUAGUCGAAGUAGUUAUAUCCCUCUAGUGUGAGGUUAGAGGUCUCAUCUCUAAUAGGCAUAGAUUUUUAAAUUAUAUGUUUUGGGCCUCUGAAUUCUAUGACGAGUGUACAAAUUCAAACUUCCGAUAGGAUCCAAAUUGCAACAUUGUGGAUUGUAACAAAUUAAAAUAUAGGUAUACACACACACACACACAUAUGUUACCUUGUAAACAGGACCAUAUCCACCCUCCCCAAGCUUAUUUCUAAUUGAAAAUCCCUCGGUGGCCGCCUCAAUAUCAGCCAAACUAUAUACUCUGAGAUUAGGAACAUUUAUGUUAAAGUCUCCAGCUUCUGUUUCAUUAUUUGCUCUCGUGUUUGAUGCUUUAGCAGAAUCCUCUGUUCCUAACAUCAACCAAGAGUAAAUAUUAGAUAAUUAAUUGUAUGUCAGCCUCAGUGAUAUAUAUGUGUGUGUGUGUGUGUGUGUGUGUGUGUGUGUGUGUGUGUUUGUGUUUGUGUGUGUGAAUGAAAUGCAUGCUUAAUGAUAAUUGAUAGCUGAAGCUUGUUACCUUCUAUUAACUUGAGCCUUUUCCUCUGGUUGUAUUUAUAUGCACAACAGCCUAGAAGGAGAGUCAAAGCUGCCGCUGCAGUGGAAAUGAGUGCAAUGGACAGACACCGGUUGUUACUAUGUUCAUCUUUUUCAGCUGAAGCAGAAGUAAUCCUGUCUUUUUGUGCUGGAAAUAUGUAUAGUUCACCAAUUAAUAAUAACAAGCUUGAGAUACCAUAACAAUCAUUAUUAAUCAGAGAGAACAAUUAUUGCAUAUAUAAAUACCUGCAGCUUGAGAAAGCACCCAAUUAUGAUCAUCAAAAGGAACUCGCCACACAUAGUAACCAAGCAAUCUCUUCUCUUUGGCAUAGGCGAUCUUAGCUCUAACAGCCUCCACAUCAUCAAAACCAAACCAAACCGUCCCAGUGGAGAAGUAAUUCACCACAUAAGUUGAAUUGUACAUAACUUGAACAUUAGGAGCAUAGUUCUUGAUGUGAUUCUUGAUAGUCCUAUAGGUCACAAGGCCAUCAUUAGUCAAAGCUGGUCCUGCUGCUGCUGCUCCAAUACCAUUGUCUUCAGGUUUCACAAGCCUCCAUGCAUAGCCAUAGAAAGGCAAAGACAUAGCCAACUUAUCAGCCGAUAGCCCUCUCUCAAUCCAUGCCUUUAAAACCUGAUCGGUACUUUUAGCAAAGCCGCCGCUACUUGAGCCAUGGAGAGCCGCAGGUGGCGCAGUGAAGUUUGUUGACAAAGGCUUGUAGUAGUUAGCAGUAACUGCAUGAACCCAAUUCAAGUUUCGUUGCAUCGAAUUCAAAAGAUAUGAAUUCGCUGGUGGUGAAUAACGAAAUCUUGCGGUCAAAAUCAGCGGGGAUUGCUGGCGACUAGAGUUUAUUGCCUCUAAUUUUGUAGCAGCAAUUCGCCACUCGUCAAAAAGUAAACCAAUAUUGAACAUAUCGGUGCUUGUGUUGGGAGCUGUCCAAGCAAAAUCUAGGCCCUGAAAGCCAUAAAGCCUAGCUAUUCUUAUUGAAGAGUCGAUGAAAGAUUUUCUGUGAGAAGAAUUUCUCACCAUUGAAGAAUAUAUAGAAUAGUUUGUAUGUCUUCCUUCUCCAAUGGAGAGAAGCAUAGUGAUUGAUAGGUUCUGUUUCUUCACAGUGUCUGCGAAUUUGGCGAUUUGAUUUUCAUCGGAUGGUAAUGAUAAAGAUAGCUGGUAAGUGGUAGAAUUGAUAUCAGCAGAAGAGCAAAUAAGGUGAGUGAAGAGAUCAUAAUUUAUGCCCGAAAUGGUGGACACUUCGCUUAGAUUCAAGUAACCGACCCUAAUCCACGGUUUUGCUUUCGCUGGAUGAAGUUCUGAAUAGAGCAACGUGUGCAAGAUGAUGCUGAUAAUUAUGGAUGCCAUUUAAGACUUUGUUAGGAAUGGAAAUGAAUGCACACUAAGAGAAAUUAAAUAAACACUAGUUUCACAGUUCAUUUAGGUUCUUAUUAAACUAUUAACGCAUAGGUUCAUUUCGUUCCAAAAAAAAUCUUAUGUGCUCCUGAUAGGGACACAUACAUUGCAUGUUAAGAUGAUGAUAGGCGAUGCGACCAUUUCCUAAGAACUAAGAUUUUCUUCUAUCGCGUGGCUGACUUUUCAUGAAGAAAAAUGAUGCUUUGGUUGUCAUUUGGUUAAACUGAUGACAAAUUUCGGGUUACAAAUAUCAGUAUUGUUUUAUUAAACAAUAAAAGACAAAAAAUCAAUAUUUAUUAGAGAGAACAAUUAUUGCAUAUAUAAACACCUGCAGCUUGAGAAAGCAUCCAAUAUUGAUCAUAGGAAACUAGCCACACAUGGUAACCACGUAGCUUCUUCUCCUUGGCAUAUGCAACCUUCACUCUAAUGGCCUCCACAUCAUCAAAACCAAACCAAAUCUUCCCAAUCGAGCAGUAAUUCACCACAUAAGUUGAAUUGUAAAUAACUUGGACAUUAGGACCAUAGCUCUUGAUGUGAUUCUUGAUUUCCCUAUAACUCACAAGACCAUUUUCACUCAAAGCUGGUCCCGUUGCUGCUGCACCAAUACCAUUGUCCUCAGGUUUCACAAGCGUCCAUGCAUAGCCAUAGAAAGGCAAACAUAAAACCAAUUUAUCAGCCGAUAACCCUUCCUCAAUCCAUUUCGUGAUUCCGUAUUCAGUAUUAGAGACACUAUUUGGAUCAUACAGAGCCGCAUGAGCACCAGUAAAAUUUGUCCACGU
rnacentral:lncRNA from 1 species